UAUGGUUUUGGUCCCUUUGAAGCUAACUAGCUAAAAGGCUUGAUAUAUAGAAGUAUGGAAGAAUCUGUUAAGCUCAGGAGGGAUAGCGCCCUAAGGAUAGCCAUGGGCUCUUUUUAUUUGGUUUUUGACUAUCAGUGGCGCUAUCCAUCCUGAGUUUUACUGGUUCUUCUUGCUACGAUCAGCUCCUGGAUCCUCCCUGUUGCUUCAGGAUUAACGUGCCAUUUCUUCUCUUUGAGAAGGUGAUUUAUGUGCGGUGGCUGUGUUUCCACGCUUCCUCCAUUGUUUCCACUAAAAUAUCUCAAGUGGCCAUUUUAGAUUUGUUUUCUAUAUCACAGCAGAAUCUUUUCAGAUUUUAACGUGUUCAUGGAAUUUACAGUGAAAUAAUUAUUAAGUGUUUGUUGCCAUAAAUCUCAGCAUAGUCUGAGGAGGUCCCAAGUUUGAUGCGGCUUCUUGUGUUCCUUAAUUUGGUUAACAGACAAAGGUAUUGCCUUUACUAAAAUCCCUUUUCACUGGCCAUCAAAAUUUCAAAAUUUCCAACCAUGGAGAAGCUUCAACAUCUCGUAUUUGAUUCAGAUUUUUAUAUACAUUAUUCAUAAUCUUGAGACCAUUCUUGAAUUUCGUUAUCUCGUCUGGGAAAAAACAUAUCAAGGCCAAUGACUUGGAUUUCUCCUAAAGCACUGUAGAAUUUUUUGCAAGUUUGAAUAUAUCAUACCUUCAUAAUUAUUGAAAUAUCAUGAAAGUUAAAAGUUCGUCUGUGAAUUUGUAUUUUUUUAAAUUUUUUUUAAUUAAUAAGCAUUUUAUAUUUAUUUAAACAAUAUAUGUAUCCAAGGAUUGGUUUGACAAGUCAAUUGGAUAACUUCGAGGGUGAUUUUAACCGUGUCGGUGGAAAAAUAGUUUUUUUAUGAAUUUUUUUUUUAAAAAUUUAAAUUAACUCGAAUUAACUUAUUCUUCCAUAUGGUUGUUUGUGUUAACUUUUAGAUUGAAUUUCUGUAUUAAUAAGACAACGAGAAGUUAACAAUUUGAAAAACUUUCCUUGCAGAUAUGAAGGAAAUGAUAUCUUUGACAUUUGGAAAGAUAUGCUUAAGUUAGGUGAUGUGCAGAUUGAGGACUAGUUUUGUAGCUAUAUCAGUGUUUCCAUGCGAACCUACCACACAAAUUUUGCUCAAGCCCAGGCAAUGUGUGCUAGGAGCAUUUCUUGUUCUAGUUAUCUAAGAACAGGUUGCCACCACAUUGGGAUUGUGACUUGACAUGUCAAUGACCACAAGAAGUUCACGAAGCUUUAAUGGAGAUAAGCCAGCAAAGACAAGAGAGGAGACGACAUCAUUUGUAGUGGCCGGAAUUCAUGGAGGAGGGUUACCGACAUUUCACCAGUCCUUUACCUUUUCUACACUUGUACAAGGACAAAUUUUAACCCCUUCUUUUCGUAUCCGGAAUACCUUUUUGCAUGUGUAAUCAGAGAGGUUUUCCCUUCUUUUUAUGUUUUUUUUCUUCUAUAUAGUUGUCAUGUAAUGUUUGGUUAUUCAUAAUGAUAGAAUUCUCCUGUGGAUUCAAGCAAGGUGGUUAAUUUGUAUGCAAUAUAUGGUUAUAAAA